UACAGAGGGUGCAAGCGUUAAUCGGAAUUACUGGGCGUAAAGCGUGCGUAGACGGUUACGUAAGUCGGAUGUGAAAGCCCCGGGCUCAACCUGGGAAUGGCAUUCGAGACUGUGUAGCUAGGAUGCGGAAGAGGGAAGCGGAAUUUCCGGUGUAGCGGUGAAAUGCGUAGAUAUCGGAAGGAACACCAGUGGCGAAAGCGGCUUCCUGGUCCAGCAUCGACGUUCAGGCACGAAAGCGUGGGGAGCAAACAGG
rnacentral:rRNA from 1 species